GGUUAAAUCCAUAGGGAAAAAAUUGAGUUUUUCCAGUGCAGCUGGGCCAUUUCUGCUGAGCUGCCACGAGAGGGACACAGAAGGAAAGCAAAAGGAGCUGGGAAGGGAAGGAUCCAAGGAAGAGCUCGAGGUUUAAUUGGGGAUAAAUAUUCCCAGAACAAGUCAGGGGGAUGUAACUCCAUGAAGGAAAAGGAGGAGGAGAAGAUUUUGGGCAAAAUCCAGGGAUUUUGAAUGAAGACAAUUCUCAGAAAUUAAUGGAUUCUGUGGAUUUCGGGAGGAACCCGGCCAGGGCUGCCCUCAGGCCGUGAAUGGCCCCAGUGUAGUUCUGCGAGGCCUUCCCAGAAGUGAGGAGCUCCUUGGAGAUGAGCCCAGGAACCAUCAGCCAGCCUGGGAGGAGAUCAAGGGGGCUGUGGGCUCCCGGGCUGCCCCACGGCCCCGAGGGGAACAUUCCCAGGGCAGCGUGGGCCCGACACCCUGGGACUGAGAGCACAGAGAGCACAGAGAGCACAGAGAGAACAGAGAGCACAGAGAGAACAGAGGCACCCUUGAACUCUGCCUGUGCCCCUGCCUGCUGGGAAGGCUUCCCCUCAUCCCCCAAUGUUCAGGGCUAUGACAGCUGCUCCUUUCCCUUUUCCCCUUUUUCCCCUCAUCCCCCAAUGUUCAGGGCUAUGGCAGCUGCUCCUUUCUCUUUUUCUCCUCAUCCUCCUGAUAUUCAGGGCUCUUCCAGCUGCUCCUUUUCCCUUUUUCUCCUCAUCCUCCUGAUAUUCAGGGCUCUUCCAGGGCUCUUCUUGCUCCUUUCCCUUUUCCCCUCAUCCUCCCCAUGUUCAGGGCUCUUCCAGCUGCUCCCUUUGCCAAAGAUGAUCCCUUUUCCCUUUUCCCCUUUUUCCCCUCAUCCCCCAGUGUUCAGGGCUCUUCCAGCUACUCCUUUCCCUUUUUCUCCUCAUCCUCCUGAUAUUCAGGGCUCUUCCAGCUGCUCCCUUUGCCAGGGAUGAUCCCUUUUCCCUUUUACCCCUCGUCCCCUCAUGUUCAGGGCUAUGACAGCUGCUUCUUUUCCCUUUCCCCCUCAUCCUCCUGAUAUUCAGGGCUCUUCCAGCUGCUCCCUUUGCCAGGGAUGAUCCCUUUUUCCUUUUACCCCUCGUCCCCUGAUGUUCAGGGCUCUUCCAGCUGCUCCUUUCCCUUUUACCCCUCAUCCCCCAGUGUUCAGGGCUCUUCCAGCUGCCAAGGAUGAUCCCUUUUCCCCCUCAUCCCUCUGAUGUUCAGGGCUAUGACAGCUGCUUCUUUUCCCUUUCCCCCUCAUCCUCCUGAUAUUCAGGGUUCUUCCAGCUGCUCCCUUUGCCAAAGAUGAUCCCUUUUCCCUUUUUUCCCCUUUUUCCAUGUGGGCAACAAGGCUGGUGAGGGACCCAAACCACCAUCACUGUGGGGAAACCAUCCCCACAUUGCAUUGUGCUGUGGCACAAACACAGGCACGGAAAAUGAGAUCAGAAUAUUCCUGGGAAGAGCUGUGCCUUGCUUUUCUCUGUGCAGAGCAACGUGGGGCUGUUUCCUGACAGGCCAAGGAACCAAACACCCUCACUGUGGGUGAACAAUCCUCAUUUUGCAUUCUGCUUUGGCACAACCACAGGCACAGCAAAUGAGAUCAGAAUAUUCUUGGCAAGAUUUGUGCCUUGCUUUUCUCUGUCAAGAGAAAUGUGGGGCUACACACUUGGUCCUGACAGGCCAAGGAGCCAAAACACCAACAAUCCCCACACUGCAUUGUGCUGUGGCACCAACACAGGCACAGCAAAUGGUAAGAAUUGUGUUUUUCCUUUCUCUGAGGCUCAGAGGACGUGGAACCCAGCAGUAUUCCUGGGAAGAGCUGUGCCUUGCUGCUCUCUGUGCAGAGCAAUGUGGCGGCACAGGCCGGGCUGUUUUUGCUAAAAACGGCACCGCUGGCCCUGAUUUAUGAGCAAACAGGAGUUUGCAAAGGGCCUCGGGAGCCUGGCCCAGAAAUCC
ensembl:lncRNA